CAUUGCAUAUUGCAUAUCAUGUGGUUACAUUGUGCAAGUAAUCCUCCCAAGUCUUGAUCAGAAGAUGAGGAAGUCAAAGUGCAAAGCUAGGGUUUUAUUGGACUGGUCAUUGAUCAUCUGAGGGUGUGCAAGUCCAAAUUAGGGUUUCAUGAUUCUCAAGGGAUAAUGGUCUUCAUCAUGAUUACAAUGAUUAAUCAUCAUCAUCAU
rnacentral:lncRNA from 1 species